UGCUCAGUGGUGCUUGCAGUGCGGCUACUGUGCCACGCACCGCAUUCAAAGUUAAUUGGAUUCGAUAAGGUCAAGAACAAAGCGGCAAUUAGACUGGAGCUCAUACAACCUGUCAGAUAAAUAUGAUGAGUUUAAGAAAGGCGCCUUUAAUUAAGUACUUUCAACAAUAAAAUCUACAGCUCGACGAUAUUUACAUAAUUGAUAUGUUAAUUUCUCAAAAUGUAACCCAAAUUCAAAUAAAGUCUAAGAUUCAA
rnacentral:sRNA from 1 species